CCUCAAUAAUGAAACCGGCAGUAAUUAUUAGUAAUUUUGAAUAAAAUCUUCAAAUACCAUAGUAUCAGCAAAUUUUUAAUUUAUUAAUUAAAGGAAACAGAUGUAGAAAAUUACACUGAAUUUCAAUUUCAAAACUCGUAAAUACAAAUUUUAUGAGAAAAUAAUAAAAAAGGCUCAGAUCUGUGUACGAUUAUCGGGCAAUAGGCCGAAUCCGCCAUGGCUGCAAAAUAACCCGGUUGCAUGCGAGAUGCCAUCCGGGUUGCCCCGCCAAGGUACGGUUCGGAUAUCCAGAUUGCCCGAUCCAAUUUGCUCUGGGGAUACUUAUCAUCAUCAUAGCCUUCUCAUGAACGCAACAAACAAUAAAUUACAGUAUACUCCCUCCCUCCUUUCGAAUAAUAAUAAUAAUAAUAAUAACAGAGAGGGGCUAAUUUGCAAAUUUACCCUAAAAAAAUAAAGGGGCUGUUGGUUGAAAUAAUGGAAAUCACGGGCAAAGCAGAGAGGGGCAACCACCCCUUGAAGAAAUCCCUCUUAUCUCUCUGUGCCUCAUUCUUGGACCUUCAGAACAGCCAUUUUGAGUUUUUAUGGGGAAAAGCCAAAGGGUUUUCUGCUGUGUUGACUUUUAC
rnacentral:lncRNA from 1 species